rnacentral:rRNA from 1 species
AUACGGAGGGUGCAAGCGUUAAUCGGAAUUACUGGGCGUAAAGCGCGCGUAGGCGGUUUGAUCAGUCGGAUGUGAAAGCCCUGGGCCCAACCUGGGAACUGCAUUCGAUACUGUCAGACUAGAAUAUGGUAGAGGGUAGUGGAAUUCCUGGUGUAGCGGUGAAAUGCGUAGAUAUCAGGAGGAACAUCAGUGGCGAAGGCGGCUACCUGGACCAAUAUUGACGCUGAGGUGCGAAAGCGUGGGGAGCAAACAGGAUUAGAAACCCCAGUAGUCC